UCAUCGGUAAUUGUUUUGGCAUGGUUUUGAAGUGAACAACGCGAUCGUCUUCAAGUGUGUAUCAGACCAUGGCCAAAGUUGAUUUUUUAUGCUAAGCCAUGACUUCCAGCAAUGUGAGCAUGGAGGAAAGAAGAAAUUCUUUCCUCCAUGAGCGUGAGGGAACGUAAAGUGAACAUGCCAUUUAUAAUGCAGCAUGAGAAAAAGAGCAGCUGGCUGCUUUAACACUGGGCCUGGCAAUUGAAUAUGACAGCAACCAGCACAGAAGGCGACGGUGUGCCGCGUGAUUGACUUCUUCAGAUGAGCAGCAUGUGUCUGGUGCAGACGAUGGCGGCUUUUUACAAGGCUUAAGGGAAACUUUUCCAACACAUUCACGUCUGCAAGCAAGCUUCGCUGUCCUUUCUGAGCCUCUAGUCCCGCAGAAUAGUACCAAUAGCCGCUUGACUGAUGUGCCUUUCAUGUUCAUGAGCCCUGAGCACUCUGGAUCUUCAGCCAUGCCUGCAUCAUCAGUGCAAGGUCAAACAUGCAGAGAGGGAUUCACAGAAGUCAAGACUGCAGAAGAAAACUCUGAAGGAGUUGGAAGAGAUGAGAGCAGAGCUCUCAGCAUAAGGAGAGAUCUUAAUGAAGUUGGAAAUGUUGUACUUGCUGCAAGCACAUGCCCAAAGUUCCAGACCUGUUGGCAGCAGCAUCCUUGAUGUGCUACCAUUUACAUCCGUGGAGGGUUUCAGGAGCUCGAGAGUCAACUCUCUAUUGCCCAGAGCAAGAAUAACUGUGUCUGCUGCUUGCCAAUGAUAGGAGGAUCGUCUCUGCGGAAUGCCCUGCACCACAUAGUGCAGAAGUACAUGCGAGACAGUUAUGCCCAAAGUUUUAGCAUGACGGGGAGGAAAGGGAAGAAAGCAAUUAUGGGCCUGCACAUUCUCAGUGUCAUGACUGGCGCCGAGGCACUGCUUUCAGCGGUCACCAUUCCAAGCCGUCGAUAUCAUCCCUUGAGGACGACAGAUCGACCCGUGCAUCUGUUUGCAGUGACGAGUGGAAGUGGACCCUGACGUGGCGCUGCCAUCGACGCUACUUAAGCGGGACCGCGCUCAUCGCUCUGCACUUCGGUUGGCAGCAGCGGCUGUGGCAACAAGUUUCUGCCGUCAAGCCCACGCAUUUCACUACGCAGAGGCAGUGAAGAACUUCCCUGAUGCCAACGACACGAUGGUGUGGUCAUAUGCUGCUGAUUGGCUGUGUUGCGCUCCAUCAACGAUUCAGAGAAGUCUACUGUAGACGAUGCCGGGGCACUGGUGCUAAGGUGAAUGAAGAGAGGCAUCGACCGCCUCGUUGAUAGUUUUACCUGCAGAAGCUGCACUGCAUCGCUGAUGGCCGCUGUUGCUCUAGCAGUGGCUUCCAUAAAGUCGGUACUGCAGGAACCACCACAGCACAAGACGAUGAUGAUGACUGCCAAGUUGACAUAAAAAAUUGAAACCCUUUCAGUUUUCCAACCCACACCAGCCCACAAGAAACGUAGCCAUGUUAGCAAUCUUUCAAGUAAGAACCCUCACCAUUGCUCUCCUUCUGAGCUACCAUGCUCUGGAGAACCUCAACCAAACAGAAGUUCUUGGGAAUCUGAAGACCAUAUGUACGCAGGCAACAGCACAGGACAACACUUACGACAGGGAGUCCAAAGACAAUGAACCCCAAAAAGAUGCUCGGAGCAUGAAGUCGGCAUUGUUUUGUUCCAGGUGGAUUGGACAGCUUAGGAAUCAAUGCUUGGAAAUGAUUUUAGCACCUGGUUAAUUGCAAUUUCCAAAUGAUCAAGGCCAAGCACAUGCCUGAAGCUCAGCAACAGACACAAAGGGUACCUUUCCUUGCCCAAAAUAAUGCUCUCAAUCAGGCUGAAACCACAAGCUGAUUUGACUAAGCUUACGAUGGAGGAUCUUGCCAUGGUACUUGAUGCCUUGACUCCAAACGAGGCUCUUAUUGAACAUCGUCACUACCCAUGACCCAGCUAAAUCACGCCAAGCAAUUGACCAGCCUGCUCUGUGAGUUCAACUGCAUAGUGCGCUGUUCCUCUUUCAGUGCAUCCUGUGCAGACAUGCACCAAGCUGUGAUUUGUGGGUUUGCAAAGGACAGCACAAAUGAAAUGCUCAUGGUGAAGCUCUCCUUGGAAGGGUAAACAAUCAUUGCUAUUUGCCCAUGGAAAGUCUCAAUCAGCCCUUGUCACGAUGGAGGCUUGCAGGACGCUGGCUCACAUACUUUACUGCUGCAUGCCCCUGAAAAUGUACCCGUACGAGCAGAGGCCUGUUGUCUGUUAAAUUUACACUGCCACAGCUUGGUUCAUACACAAGACAUUUACUGAAACAAGGGCAUGUUCAGCUAAUGCGGCACCCUGCACAAAAACGCAUGGACAUGUGCAUGGAUCAAGACCUGCAUUGCGUUUUAUGUAAAAACUUGGGCCAUUUAGCAACUGACCACGAGUGCCCUCGCUGAUAAGCACAGACUAAAACAGCACAGAAGUGAGCCAAGACAGCAUACCGCCCCCGCAGCUGACAGCGCCAAGACAUGGACAAAGGCAAAAUCUAGAGCUGUCCAUGCAGAAACAGCAGGCGACACCCACUGCAAUUCUAUGACUACGACGCGGCCUUCCUGAAGCUGCAACCUGCAUCAGAGCCUCUUCGGCAAUCCCAGGUAUUUUGACCAUUGAGGACAGCCUCACCAUGCCACAGCCCUCAAGCAUGCCGAGUUCUGUUGAAAAGUUAACACACCGCAGACCAUAAUGCACAUCUUAGACAACCAGACUAACAGGAUAUAAGACUUCGCUUCCAUACAGCGCCAGCUACAGCUUUUAACGGGGAUGAUGACAAGACUGAAAGAACACCGAAGAGAUCUACAGCAGAGAAUAUAUCUUUGUCUUACAGUCUCUGACUGGAUACAAGAGCCCCAACCUCAAAACAAAUCACAUUGUUCUUGCAGCACUCUACUUCACAGCCACCUGCGACGGUGGCAACUCUGGAGGAACCUGUGAGAACAGUCGCUGCGCCACUAAACAUUCAGAAGGCGCUCAGCAGCAUACAAAAAACUUUAUCUCCAAUCGGAUAUGAAGCAAUCGGACAUCAAGUAUUGUUAACAGCUUUCAGGAGCUCUCAGCAGCUUAGUCGCUGUUGUUACCCCAACUACAGCUAAGUAUGGGUAAGCCACAAAACGCAGCUAAAUCAAACUUACAAGCCAGCUGUGACCACGCCGCAGGUGUUACAGUAGUACUCCCCUGGGCUAGCCAAAUGUGCAACAGAGCUUAACCACCUUUCUAGGGGCUAGCUAUGUAUUUAAGUUUGUAUCUAUGUAUGUUUCUAUAACCGUUUUCUCACCUACCUGGGUCAGUGGGUCGAAUCUGUAGCGCAUCAGGUUGCUGUGCUGAGGGAACAGGGUUCGAAACCAAACAUUGAACCAACUUGGGUCACUGAGUAUGUGGUAAUGUGUACAAACAUGCCGCUCUUCGAUGAACCUCUUUCACGCUGACAUGGGUCACUGUAGAUGUGAGACUGGUUUAGGUGGCAUUGUUCAAAGAAACCUUGACGCCGAGGUGGAGCAGUGGGUAUGUGCCACUUGGUCUGGCUGGCCUUCAACGAACCUCGUCAUUGCCAACUUGGGUAACUAGGUAAGUGCCAUUUGGAAUGUGCUGCUCUACAAUGACGAAAAAGAUAGCUUACUCCGAUGCUGAGCGGAAUCGAACCCACGUCACAAGGACAGCAAUCCGACGCCAUGAAUGCACUGAGUAUGUGCCACUCUUCAAUGACCCUCUUGCCAACUUGGGUCCCUGAGUAUGUACCACUGAGUGUGCAGCCAGUGAGGGAGCAAUUUUCGGCA